AGACGUCUACAUUAGAUACCCGUGUAGUCCCAGCCGUAAACUAUGCGCGUUAGGUGUAUCGGUGACCACGAGACACCGAGGUGCCGAAGGGAAACCGUGAAACGUGCCGCCUGGGAAGUACGGUCGCAAGGCUGAAACUUAAAGGAAUUGGCGGGGAGCACCACAACGGGUGGAGCCUGCGGUUUAAUUGGACUCAACGCCGGGAAGCUCACCGGAUAAGACAGCGGAAUGAUUGCCGGGCUGAAGACUCUGCAUGACUAGCUG
rnacentral:rRNA from 1 species